UACGAAGGGGGCUAGCGUUGCUCGGAAUCACUGGGCGUAAAGCGCACGUAGGCGGGCUCUUAAGUCGGUGGUGAAAUCCUGGAGCUCAACUCCAGAACUGCCUUCGAUACUGAGAGUCUUCGAGUCCGGGAGAGGUGAGUGGAACUGCGAGUGUAGAGGUGAAAUUCGUAGAUAUUCGCAAGAACACCAGUGGCGAAGGCGGCUCACUGGCUCGUUUCUGACGCUCAGGCGCGACAGCGUGGGGAUCAAACAGG
rnacentral:rRNA from 1 species